rnacentral:tRNA from 1 species
CAAAGCAUAGUUUAAUAAGAAUACUAGCAUUGGAAGUUAGAGAUUGGCACCGUCGUCAUGCUUUGA